rnacentral:rRNA from 1 species
UACAGAGGUCUCAAGCGUUGUUCGGAUUCAUUGGGCGUAAAGGGCGCGUAGGCGGCGGGGUAAGUCGGGUGUGAAAUCUCAGGGCUCAACCCUGAAACUGCACUCGAUACUGCUCUGCUUGAGGACUGGAGAGGAGACUGGAAUUCACGGUGUAGCAGUGAAAUGCGUAGAUAUCGUGAGGAAGACCAGUGGCGAAGGCGGGUCUCUGGACAGUUCCUGACGCUGAGGCGCGAAGGCCAGGGG